AUUGAACGCUGGCGGAAUGCUUUACACAUGCAAGUCGAACGGCAGCACGGACUUCGGUCUGGUGGCGAGUGGCGAACGGGUGAGUAAUGUAUCGGAACGUGCCCAGUCGUGGGGGAUAACGUAGUGAAAAUUACGCUAAUACCGCAUACGAUCUAUGGAUGAAAGCGGGGGAUCGCAAGACCUCGCGCGAUUGGAGCGGCCGAUAUCAGAUUAGGUAGUUGGUGGGGUAAAGGCCCACCAAGCCAACGAUCUGUAGCUGGUCUGAGAGGACGACCAGCCACACUGGAACGGGGCAACGGUCCGGACUCCUACGGGAGGCAGCAGUGGUGAAUUUUGGACAAUGGGCGAAAGCCUGAUCCAGCCAUUCCGCGUGCAGGAUGAAGGCCCUCGGGUUGUAAACUGCUUUUGUACAGAACGAAAAGGUUUCUACUAAUACUAGGAGCUCAUGACGGUACUGUAAGAAUAAGCACCGGCUAACUACGUGCCAGCCGCCGCCGUAA
rnacentral:rRNA from 1 species